rnacentral:rRNA from 1 species
GACCGACGCGGAAACCUAAUUAUCAAGGUAAAGCGAUCUUCAAAUCGCCUGUACAAACUGCAUAUUCACCCCGUGCGCCCGGUCUGUCUCGGUGCGCGCACGGACAACGUGUCAUGGCGCUGGCACGCCCGUUUCGGUCACCUGCACAUCGACGCUCUGCAGAGGAUGGCGCGGGGAGGAAUGGUGCGAGGGCUGCCAGGCAUUGAGCACUCCGGAGAGCUCUGCCAGGCGUGCCUUGCCGGCAAGCAACGCCGGGCGCCGUUCCCCCAGACGGCCAAGUACAGAGCGGAGGCGCCGCUCGACCUCAUCCACGCGGACCUCUGCGGAGCAAUCACACCAGCGACACCAGGAGGACGGCGCUACUUCCUUCUCCUCGUGGACGACCACAGCCGCUACAUGUGGCUCAACCUGCUGACGAGCAAGGACGAAGCCGCGACAGCAAUCAAGGAAUUCCAGGCGCGUGUGGAGAUAGAGGCACGGCGUAGGCUGGGCACACUGCGGACGGACCGCGGAGGAGAGUUCACGUCCACGGCGCUGGCGAAGCACUUCGCGUCCACCGGAGUCCAGCGCCACCUGACCGCGCCUUACUCCCCGCAGCAGAACGGGGUGGUCGAAAGGCGCAACCAGACGGUGGUGGGCAUGGCAAGGAGCAUGAUGAAGGCCAAGGGCAUGCCGGACUACUUCUGGGGAGAGGCGGUAACCACGGCCGUCUAUCUCCUGAACUGGGCGUUCACGCGCAGCGUGGACGGGGCGACGCCGUACGAGGCCUGGCAUGGCAGGAAGCCAGAGGUGAGCCACCUGCGAGUCUUCGGGUGCGUGGCGCAUGUCAAGAGCGCGCGCCCCCUCCUCAAGAAGCUGGACGAUCGGAGUACUCCCAUGGUGCACAUCGGGUAUGAGCCUGGUUCCAAGGCAUACAGGGUGUACGACCCGGCGACGCGCAGGGUGCACGUGUCCCGCGACGUUGUGUUUGACGAGAGCGCGAGCUGGGACUGGAGCAACGAGACGGCGGGCGCAGGCGGCUCCUUCGUCGUCGACUUCUCGGCAUACGGUGGACCUCUUGAAGAUGUGGUCACCCCGGCAAGAAUCUCUGCUCCGCCGUCACCCGAACCUGCCACCGGGGCGGCUGGAGAGAACACGCCUGCAUCGCCACACUCCGGUCCCGAUGCCGGGGCACCGCUUUCGCCAGCAGCAGGU